AGCCUGAACGCUGGCGGCGUGGUUAAGACAUGCAAGUCGUACGGUGUAGCAAUACACAGUGGCGAACGGGUGAGUAAUGAAUCGCUAAUGUACCCCGGACUUUGGGAUAGCUGCCCGAAAGGGCAGGUAAUACCAGAUGAUAUAACUCUGUCGCAUGACAGAGUUCUCAAAGGUCCGCCGGUCUGGGAGCAGGCGAUUUCGUAUCAGCUAGUUGGUAGGGUAACGGCUUACCAAGGCGACGACGCGUAGCCGGACUGAGAGGUUGGCCGGCCACAUUGGGACUGAGACACUGCCCCAGACUCCGUACGGGGGGCUGCAGUAACGAAUCUUCCGCAAUGCACGAAAGUGUGACGGAGCGACGCCGCGUGUGGGACGAAGCCCUUCGGGGUGUAAACCACUGUCAAGGGAAAGAAGUUCUGAUCUACCCUAGAGGAAGAGGCGGCUAACUCUGUGCCAGCAGCCGC
rnacentral:rRNA from 1 species